GUUGAAUGUUGUGUCCAAUUUUCAGUUGAGUGCUGCUUUAAGAGAAUGUGCAGAGAAACCGGUAUAGAAGCUCUCCUUACACCAUAACUUAUGCUAGGGCUAAAUAUUUCAAAUAUGAACCCAUUAGCCAGUCUUGAAGUACAGAAAUACGUACGCAACAAAAUUGUAUUUGUUUUUCAAAAGCAUGGUGCUUAAACAUGGGUGUGAGUAUGGUGAUGUGUGUGGAUGAAAUAUCCGUUUGAGUAAGUGAAUACCUGAGUGUGUGAUAUAUUUUUCCCUCUCCUUCUCAUAUUACUGGUCACAUUUAUACAGGCAAAAAGUCAGAUCUGAAGAAAUGGGGACAUUUCAUUGCCACUUUUGUCUAAAGGUCACUGUUCCCCCUUCUUUCAAAAUCCACUGCCUUCAUUUUUACUGACUUGCUUUCUCUCUAUCACUGUCUCAGGGGUAGAUGCUGACACUGAAUUCAGAAGAGGCACUACUGGAUUUUGUGUCAGAUUUUUAUGUUUAGAAAAUGGACACAUACAUUUGCACAAACAAAACUGACACACGCACUCGAAACAGGAAUACAGUGUCAAGUACCUACAGGGUGGGUCAGAAUGCAGAGUAGGAUUUGACAGGUAAAUAACUAAUUUGUUAGCAGUUAUUUAGUUACAUAUUAUCAUUAUUAUUAUUAUUAUUACUGCCAUUUAUAUAGCGCCAACAUAUUCAGUAGUGCUUUACAAUAUUAUAAAAAGGGGGAGAUGUAACCAUAAGUAAGACAACUACAAUAAUUUACAGGAACAAUAGGUUGUAGAGGACACUGCUCCAAUGAGUUGACAGUCUAGAGGAUAUUAUAACUGAGUCUUAGGAGAUUAUUAAUGGGUAAUUUCACAAAGGAACAACAAAUAAAAAUACAUAUCGGUAUAUGAUUGAAAUUUUUUUAGGUCCUGUAUUGAAAAAUUGUCAUGAAAUGUGAUUUCAAAUGCAUGGGGAUACUACCCAUACAGCCAGGGCCACAAUGGACCUUCUGAGACAACUGUGCGGUGAGCAGCUAAUUUCAAUAAAUU